rnacentral:rRNA from 1 species
UACGUAGGAUGCAAGCGUUGUCCGGAAUUAUUGGGCGUAAAGAGUUCGUAGGCGGUUGCCUAAGUCUGUUGUUAAAGGCCUGAGCUCAACUCGGGUAUGGCAAUGGAUACUGGGCGGCUAGAGUGUGGUAGAGGUCACGGGAAUUCCAGGUGUAGCGGUGAAAUGCGUAGAUAUCCGGAGGAACACCAGUGGCGAAGGCGGCUAUCUGGACAGAGUCUGACGCUGAGGCGCGAAAGCUAGGGGAGCAAACAGG